AGGAGAGGGAUAAGAAGGAGAUCCGCCAUGCCAUAAGAGGAUGGAAGAGAGGAGGUCCGCCAUGCCUGAGAAGAGUACAAGAUAGACACACCCGCCUUGUGAAGGAGCCGGGAGAGCGUGUUCCAUAGGACUGCCCAGCUGGAUCCAAAGCAGCCAGGGUAGAACACAGAAUUUAGAAGAAAAGAAAGUGGAUCUGCGGUGGUUAAUCUUGAUGGUCAGCUUGAACAGAUCUGAAAUCGACAGGGUGACACACCUCCAGGGAAGGCUCUGCCCCUUGCUGCUAAGCACAUCUGUUCUAUUACUGCACCAUUGCAUCCGUCAGUGAAGAAACUCAGCUUCCCAGCCUUCCAGUGCGGCUCAAAGAAGGCACGGGGCUUUCCAGGAACCUCUCAGGCUUUUAGCACUGGGUUGUAACUGCUAAGGCAUCUAGUCCAACAGACUGAGCAGCCACCAGCUUCUGUCUUUCCAAGCAUUCAGACAGGCAUUUUUGGACUGUCCAGUCUAUAAUGCUUGGAUUCAGGAGUUCAACUGUAGACGCAUCAGCUGGGAAUGGGCAUCCCAUAAUCACUGCUCUCUGCAUUUUGACUACACUGGAUCUCUAAUGGUCUCCAUCUACUGCAAAAAGAAGCUUCGUAAGGAGAGGAGAAAGCACCAAGGAAUAUUUGAGCUCACAAGAAGAAGGGAUUCUGCAGCUGAAAUAGAUCUUAGGCAUCAUUUUGACUUCAAAACUCUUAAGCCACCAUCCGCAGGCCCCACGCGACCCAGACUCGUGUGUAUUCUAAAGUGCGACUCCAGACUCUUCUAAUCAGGGCUGCGCUUCAGUUUCUGUGGAUCUCUCUCCAGUUUUGAUGUCUUUCACAAGCCAGUUCCCUGUCUGUUC